AUUCAUGGAGGAGCUGCUGGUGGUUGGGUGGGCGCCCAGCCCCGUCAUGAUGCUGCUGCCUCCCCGGACCUGCGGGGAGCAGCUCAGAGGGCUCUCCUGCCUGCACCACCUGCCCUCUGCAGAGUGUUUUCUUCAUCCAUGUGUUCACUUCACCUCACUCAUCCUCGAAGGGUUGUGUGUUCACAGGGUGUCACACACAUAAUCACAGAAGAGUGUGGGACUUGAGAUGGUGCUAGGAAGAAACGCUCCUGAUGGCGGGUGGUCCCUGGGUGUGGCACAGUCCUUAAACUGGAACAGAUCUCCCUCAGGAGAAGGCGGCACCCUGCCAAGACCACCAGCACCAGGAGCCGAGGGUGGAAGCAGCCCCGUGUGUGGACAAAACAGGAGAGAGACUGGUCGUCUCACCUUCAGUUACUCAAUGAAAUGCAGACCCUGCUGGAGGAGGUCAGGACUGCUGUUCCUUCGUGUGAUCCUCAGCCCUAUAAGGAUGGCAGGAGGCAUCAGUAGUAUCCUGGGGGCCAGGAGAGCAGACCUGUCCCCCCAGAUGACAGCUGGAAAGGGUGGGAGCUGGUGGGGAGGCCUCCUCUGUGCUCUCCACAUCUCCCUGUCUUCAGGGCACUCUCAGUGCUGGGCACCAGUGGGGCCCACUCCCUCAUCAUCCACUGGGGUCAGGUCCAGGAGGACUCCAACUGACCCCCAAACCUGGGGCAAGGAUUCCUGUUAA
rnacentral:lncRNA from 1 species